GUCAGUCUGGCAUAGUGGUUGGAGAGUCAGACUGUGACGCUGGAGAUCAGGGUUCAAUUCCUUGCUCAGUCA